UACGAAGGGGGCUAGCGUUGCUCGGAAUCACUGGGCGUAAAGGGUGCGUAGGCGGGUCUUUAAGUCAGGGGUGAAAUCCUGGAGCUCAACUCCAGAACUGCCUUUGAUACUGAAGAUCUUGAGUCCGGGAGAGGUGAGUGGAACUGCGAGUGUAGAGGUGAAAUUCGUAGAUAUUCGCAAGAACACCAGUGGCGAAGGCGGCUCACUGGCCCGGUACUGACGCUGAGGCACGAAAGCGUGAGGAGCAAACAGG
rnacentral:rRNA from 1 species